rnacentral:lncRNA from 1 species
UUCUAACCUAAUGGCUUCAUCUCUUUCUCUGCGCCUAAAUCGAUUUAGUCUCUUUCUCUCUGUCUCUGCAAAUCGUUGAUUCUCUCUGAGACUCGUUUUUUCAGUUAGUCAGUUCUCAGAGUCAGAGACUCUGACUCCCUGUCUCUCAUCUCUUAGUCUUUGUUGCUGUCUUCCCGAGUCCCGACCGUCUGUCUCUCUCUCUCUCGACUCUCGCUAAGGCAAUAGUUGAUCUCUGUCUCUCUCAACUCCAGUAUAUAUUUCUCUUUGCCUCUGUCUCUUUAUGGUGUUGUCUCUGUCUCUCAAUGUCAUUAUCUCUUUCGAUCUAUCUCUUGUUUUGGACAGAAAUUGAGGUGGCUGAUUCUGGUGAUCAAAAUGAGAGCUUGCCUACGUUUGAAGCGUUUUAACAGACGUGUAAGUUGUGUAGUUAAUUAGUCAUUUGCCUGCAUUUCAUUUAUUUUCUCAUCUCACUAAACUAUUUUACCACUUAGGGCAGCUGAAACACUUGAGAUGUGGCAAAAACAAGAAAGAAGACCCUAUGUAAUUUGUUUUCAAUUUGGAACUUAUGGUUUGUGUGUUGUUUGUUAAAACUUAAACUUAUCUAUCGUUGAAGCUUAAAACUAUAUUAUGUUUUAUGUGUUUCUGAUGUUUGUUUGUGAUUUGGAAUUUUUUUUUUUAAUUCUGGCGGGUUACCCGCGGGUCACGCUUGAUUAAUGCGGGGCGGGUACGGGUGGCUUGUAUAACUCGUUGCGGGUCAAGCGGGUAAUUUUUUUAUUUGAAAAUUUGACUUAUACCCGCAGCGGGGCGGGUCAGGCGGGGCGGAUCCGACCCGCAACACUAGAGAACAGUCAAUUAUUUUGCUGAGUGUGAAUACAAAUUUACCGAGAACUUUAUUAUAUACUUCCACAAAAUCACUGUAUGUAAUAUGAUCAUGUAUGUUUACAUGUAAACUUAUUACAAA